CAGUAGAUGACGAUUCCUUGCCUUGAAGAAGUAAUGGCCUACGUUGUCGAACAUUCAGACCCACUGGAGGCGUUCUACAGCCUGGAGCCCGCUGAUAAGGAUUUUGAUGCGACUUGACUGGAAUUGCACCCACAGCCUUUUGUCAGGCCUGUGACAGGCUGACUGUGGUUGCAAGAUGUUAGCCGAAGCCCCACACCAUGGUUAGGGCAUUGGUUCUUGGUCAUCGGUUACCUUAAAGAGGUACCACAGCCUGGCGUUAUUCUCCGUUGACAAUAGAUCCCUGCAAAGUGUACUUGACUGGCUGCACCUGUCUAACACGACUGCAACCAGCAGCUGGAG